rnacentral:rRNA from 1 species
AGAGUUUGAUCCUGGCUCAGGAUGAACGCUAGCGACAGGCUUAACACAUGCAAGUCGAGGGGCAGCAUGAUUUGUAGCAAUACAGAUUGAUGGCGACCGGCGCACGGGUGAGUAACGCGUAUGCAACUUACCUAUCAGAGGGGGAUAGCCCGGCGAAAGUCGGAUUAAUACCCCAUAAAGCAGGGGUCCCGCACGGGAAUAUUUGUUAAAGAUUCAUCGCUGAUAGAUAGGCAUGCGUUCCAUUAGGCAGUUGGCGGGGUAACGGCCCACCAAACCGACGAUGGAUAGGGGUUCUGAGAGGAAGGUCCCCCACAUUGGUACUGAGACACGGACCAAACUCCUACGGGAGGCAGCAGUGAGGAAUAUUGGUCAAUGGCCGAGAGGCUGAACCAGCCAAGUCGCGUGAAGGAAGAAGGAUCUAUGGUUUGUAAACUUCUUUUAUAGGGGAAUAAAGUGGAGGACGUGUCCUUUUUUGUAUGUACCCUAUGAAUAAGCAUCGGCUAACUCCGUGCCAGCAGCCGCGGUAAUACGGAGGAUGCGAGCGUUAUCCGGAUUUAUUGGGUUUAAAGGGUGCGUAGGUGGUGAUUUAAGUCAGCGGUGAAAGUUUGUGGCUCAACCAUAAAAUUGCCGUUGAAACUGGGUUACUUGAGUGUGUUUGAGGUAGGCGGAAUGCGUGGUGUAGCGGUGAAAUGCAUAGAUAUCACGCAGAACUCCGAUUGCGAAGGCAGCUUACUAAACCAUAACUGACACUGAAGCACGAAAGCGUGGGGAUCAAACAGGAUUAGAUACCCUGGUAGUCCACGCAGUAAACGAUGAUUACUAGGAGUUUGCGAUACAAUGUAAGCUCUACAGCGAAAGCGUUAAGUAAUCCACCUGGGGAGUACGCCGGCAACGGUGAAACUCAAAGGAAUUGACGGGGGCCCGCACAAGCGGAGGAACAUGUGGUUUAAUUCGAUGAUACGCGAGGAACCUUACCCGGGUUUGAACGUAGUCUGACCGGAGUGGAAACACUCUUUCUAGCAAUAGCAGAUUACGAGGUGCUGCAUGGUUGUCGUCAGCUCGUGCCGUGAGGUGUCGGCUUAAGUGCCAUAACGAGCGCAACCCUUAUCACUAGUUACUAACAGGUGAAGCUGAGGACUCUGGUGAGACUGCCAGCGUAAGCUGUGAGGAAGGUGGGGAUGACGUCAAAUCAGCGCGGCCCUUACAUCCGGGGCGACACACGUGUUACAAUGGCAUGGACAAAGGGCAGCUACCUGGUGACAGGAUGCUAAUCUCCAAACCAUGUCUCAGUUCGGAUCGGAGUCUGCAACUCGACUCCGUGAAGCUGGAUUCGCUAGUAAUCGCGCAUCAGCCAUGGCGCUGUGAAUACGUUCCCGGGCCUUGUACACACCGCCCGUCAAGCCAUGGGAGCCGGGGGUACCUGAAGUCCGUAACCGCAAGGAUCGGCCUAGGGUAAAACUGGUGACUGGGGCUAAGUCGUAACAAGGUA